rnacentral:rRNA from 1 species
CUAUAGCUUGACACUGAACAUUCAGAGCCUUGAUGUGUAGGAUAGGUGGGAGGCUUUGAAGCGUGGACGCCAGUCUGCGUGGAGCCAGCAUGAAAUACCACCCUUUAAUGUUUGAUGUUCUAACGUUGGCCUGCGAGGUUGCGGACAGUGUCAGUGGGUAGGUUGAAACUGGGCGGUCUCUCCCAAGCGGCAACGGAGGAGCACGGGUUAGCCAUCACGGUCGGACAUCAGGAGGUUGGUGCCAGUAACAGCUAGCGGCUGCGAGCGUGACGGCGCGAGCAGGUGCGCAAGGUCAUAGAUCGGUGGUUCUGAAUGGAGGGCCAUCGCUCAACGGAUAAAGGUACUCCGGGGAUAACAGGCUGAUACCGCCCGGGGGUUUCAUAAUCGCAGCGGUGUUUGCUCGAUGUCGGCUCAAAAAUCCACAGGGCUGAAGUAGUUCCCAAGGGUAUGGCUGUUCGCCAUUUAAAGUGGUACGCGAACUGGGUUUAGAACGUCGUGAGACAGUUCGGUCCUAUCUGCCGUGGGCGCUGGAGAAUUGAGGGCUGCUCCUAGUACGAGAGGACCGGAGUGGACGCAUCACUGGUGUUCGGGUUGUCAUGCCAAUGGCACUGCCCGGAUAUGCUGGAAGAGAUAAGUGCUGAAAGCAUCUAAGCACGAAACUUGCCCCGAGAUGAGUUCUCCCUGAGACUUUAAGUCUCCUGAAGGAACGUUGAAGACGACGACGUUGAUAGGCCGGGUGUGUAAGCGCAGCGAUGCGUUGAGCUAACCGGUACUAAUGACCGUGAGGCUUAACCUU